GAGAGUUUGAUCCUGGCUCAGGAUGAACGCUGGCGGCGUGCCUAAUACAUGCAAGUCGAGCGAAUGGAUUAAGAGCUUGCUCUUAUGAAGUUAGCGGCGGACGGGUGAGUAACACGUGGGUAACCUGCCCAUAAGACUGGGAUAACUCCGGGAAACCGGGGCUAAUACCGGAUAACAUUUUGAACCGCAUGGUUCGAAAUUGAAAGGCGGCUUCGGCUG
rnacentral:rRNA from 1 species